UUACUUACCUGGCAGGUGAGAUACCGUGAUCAAGAAGGCGGUUCACCCAGGGCAAAUGUAGUGGGGGACUGCGUUCGCGCUCUUCCUUG
ensembl:snRNA U1 U1 spliceosomal RNA